GGGCACAUGGUGUAGUUGGUUAUCACGCUCGCUUAGCACGAUAUCUGUGAUUUGCGAGAGGUGUUGGGUUCAAUUCCCAAUGCGUCCA
rnacentral:tRNA from 1 species